GGGUUAGUAGGCUGGUCGUGCCACCGGUACGUACUGGUCUUACUGAUUCCCCCUUCCUGAUGAGCCGUAAUGCCAUUAAUUUGGUGUUGCGGGGAAUUUGGACUGUUACUUUGAAAAAAUUAGAGUGUUUAAAGCAAGCUAACGCUUGAAUACAUUAGCAUGGAAUAAUGAAAUAGGACGUUCGAUCCUAUUUUGUUGGUUUCUAGGAUUGACGU
rnacentral:rRNA from 1 species